rnacentral:rRNA from 1 species
UACGGAGGGUGCAAGCGUUAUUCGGAAUCACUGGGCGUAAAGGACGCGUAGGCGGGUUUGUAAGUCAGGUGUGAAAUCCUACAGCUUAACUGUAGAACUGCACUUGAAACUACUAACCUUGAGUAUGGGAGGGGGAGAUGGAAUUAGUGGUGUAGGGGUAAAAUCCGUAGAUAUCACUAGGAAUACCUAAAGCGAAGGCGAUCUCCUGGAACAUUACUGACGCUAAGGCGUGAAAGCGUGGGGAGCAAACAGG